UAUUUCUCAGUAGGCAUCACAGCACUUCAUCUCUUGUCUCCUUCUCUCAGGGAGCACAUUAGAAGGAGUGUGCACAUCUCUUUUAUAGUGUUUGGAAAGAAAUCGGACAUAAAAGCUGAAAUCUGCCUGAUGGUUCACCACCUACAAUGCUCCAUACCAUGGACUGCAGCRAUGGCAACAGCUGGCCUGGAGCAGACAGGGUCUGUGAACUGGCCUUCCAUGGCUUGUUUUGCCAAUAGAUGGCAGGAACUGAAUACCCUCUAAAAUUAUAUUUGUGAACAGUGCUCUGCAAUAUUUUCUUUUUUCCAGCC